rnacentral:rRNA from 1 species
AGAGUUUGAUCAUGGCUCAGAAUCAACGCUGGCGGCGUGCCUCAGACAUGCAAGUCGAACGAUUAAAGCUUCCUUCGGGAAGUGCAUAAAGUGGCGCACGGGUGAGUAACACGUAAGUAAUCUACCCUCGAGUGGGGAAUAACGUUCGGAAACGGACGCUAAUACCGCAUAAUGCAGCGGCACCGCAAGGUGACAGUUGUUAAAGAUUUAUUGCUUGAGGAGGAGCUUGCGGCAGAUUAGCUUGUUGGUAAGGUAACGGCUUACCAAGGCUACGAUCUGUAUCCGGUCUAAGAGGACGGUCGGACACACUGACACUGAAUAACGGGUCAGACUCCUACGGGAGGCAGCAGUCGGGAAUUUUGGGCAAUGGGGGAAACCCUGACCCAGCAACGCCGCGUGAAGGAUGAAGUAUUUCGGUAUGUAAACUUCGAAAGAAUAGGAAGAAUUAAUGACGGUACUAUUUAUAAGGUCCGGCUAACUACGUGCCAGCAGCCGCGGUAAUACGUAGGGACCAAGCGUUGUUCGGAUUUACUGGGCGUAAAGGGCGCGUAGGCGGCGCGGUAAGUCACUUGUGAAAUCUCUGAGCUUAACUCAGAACGGCCAAGUGAUACUGCAGUGCUAGAGUGUGGAAGGGGCAAUCGGAAUUCUUGGUGUAGCGGUGAAAUGCGUAGAUAUCAAGAGGAACACCUGAGGUGAAGACGGGUUGCUGGGCCAACACUGACGCUGAGGCGCGAAAGCCAGGGGAGCAAACGGGAUUAGAUACCCUAGUAGUCC